AAUGCCUUACACAUGCAAGUCGUACCNNGGNACCCAUAUCGGUCUGGUGGCGAGUGGCGAACGGGUGAGUAAUGUAUCGGAACGUGCCCAGUAGCGGGGGAUAACUACGCGAAAGCGUAGCUAAUACCGCAUACGCCCUACGGGGGAAAGCAGGGGAUCGCAAGACCUUGCACUAUUGGAGCGGCCGAUAUCGGAUUACCUAGUUGGUGGGGUAACGGCUCACCAAGGCGACGAUCCGUAGCUGGUUUGAGAGGACGACCAGCCACACUGGGACUGAGACACGGCCCAUACUCCUACGGGAGGCAGCAGUGGGGAAUUUUGGACAAUGGGGGAAACCCUGAUCCAGCCAUCCCGCGUGUGCGAUGAAGGCCUUCGGGUUGUAAAGCACUUUUGGCAGGAAAGAAACGUCAUGGGUUAAUACCCCGUGAAACUGACGGUACCUGCAGAAUAAGCACCGGCUAACUACGUGCCAGCAGCCGCGGUAUACGUAGGGUGCAAGCGUUAAUCGGAAUUACUGGGCGUAAAGCGUGCGCAGGCGGUUCGGAAAGAAAGAUGUGAAUCCCAGAGCUUAACUUUGGAACUGCAUUUUUAACUACCCGGCUU
rnacentral:rRNA from 1 species